rnacentral:rRNA from 1 species
GACGAACGCUGGCGGCGUGCUUAACACAUGCAAGUCGAACGAUGAUGCCCAGCUUGCUGGGUGGAUUAGUGGCGAACGGGUGAGUAACACGUGAGUAACCUGCCCCUGACUCUGGGAUAAGCGUUGGAAACGACGUCUAAUACUGGAUAUGACUGCCGGCCGCAUGGUCUGGUGGUGGAAAGAUUUUUUGGUUGGGGAUGGACUCGCGGCCUAUCAGCUUGUUGGUGAGGUAAUGGCUCACCAAGGCGACGACGGGUAGCCGGCCUGAGAGGGUGACCGGCAACACUGGGACUGAGACACGGCCCAGACUCCUACGGGAGGCGGCAGUGGGGAAUAUUGCACAAUGGGCGAAAGCCUGAUGCAGCAACGCCGCGUGAGGGAUGACGGCCUUCGGGUUGUAAACCUCUUUUAGUAGGGAAGAAGCGAAAGUGACGGUACCUGCAGAAAAAGCACCGGCUAACUACGUGCCAGCCGCCGCAGUAA